GGUUUUACGCCGGGGGAACGGGUUACAUUGAUGUUGUAGAAUAAGGAAUAAUUUUGUUCUUGAGGCCA
rnacentral:tRNA from 1 species